CAGCCGCCGCGGGAAUACGUAGGGUGCAAGCGUUAAUCGGAAUUACUGGGCGUAAAGCGUGCGCAGGCGGUUCGCUAAGACAGAUGUGAAAUCCCCGGGCUUAACCUGGGAACUGCAUUUGUGACUGGCGGGCUAGAGUAUGGCAGAGGGGGGUAGAAUUCCACGUGUAGCAGCGAAAUGCGUAGAGAUGUGGAGGAAUACCGAUGGCGAAGGCAGCCCACUGGGCCAAUACUGACGCUCAUGCACGAAAGCGUGGGGAGCAAACAGGAUUAGAUACCCGUGUAGUCCCUGUCUCUUAUAC
rnacentral:rRNA from 1 species